rnacentral:misc_RNA from 1 species
GAUGAAGAACGUAGCGAAAUGCGAUAAGUAAUGUGAAUUGCAGAAUUCAGUGAAUCAUCGAAUCUUUGAACGCACCUUGCACCCUUUGGCAUUCCGAAGGGUAUGCUCGUUUGAGUGUCAUUGUACUCUCACACUUCUGAUCCUUUGGAUUGGGAGCGGUGGACUUGGGUGUUGCUGCUUUACUGUGGCUCACCUCAAAUGCAUUCGUGCAACUCUUGGUUGGACAUAGUACGGCGUGAUAAGUAUCUUCGCCGGCACCUCGCAAGAGGGUGGCUGAUCAGGAGCUCUGUGCUUUCCAACUGUCUUCAGACAACAACUGACUACUUGACCUCAAAUCGAGUAGGACCACCCGCUGAACUUAAGCAUAUCAAUAAGCGGAGGA